rnacentral:rRNA from 1 species
UUAGGAAUAUUCGUCAAUGGGGGAAACCCUGAACGAGCAAUGCCGCGUGAGUGAUGAAGGUCUUAUAGAUUGUAAAACUCUGUUGUAAAGGAAGAACGACUAUUAUAGGAAAUGAUAAUAGAGUGACGGUACUUUACCAGAAAGCCCCGGCUAACUACGUGCCAGCAGCCGCGGUAAUACGUAGGGGGCGAGCGUUAUCCGGAUUUAUUGGGCGUAAAGGGUGCGUAGGCGGUUUAUUAAGUUUAAGAUAAAAGCCCGAAGCUUAACUUCGGUUCGUCUUAAAAACUGGUAGACUUGAGUAUAGUAGAGGCAAGUGGAAUUUCUAGUGUAGCGGUUAAAUGCGUAGAUAUUAGAAGGAACACCAGUGGCGAAGGCGACUUGCUGGGCUAUUACUGACGCUGAGGCACGAAAGCGUGGGGAGCAAAUAGG